rnacentral:rRNA from 1 species
CACGUAGGCGGACCGGAAAGUUGGAGGUGAAAUCCCAGGGCUCAACCUUGGAACUGCCUUCAAAACUAUCGGUCUGGAGUUCGAGAGAGGUGAGUGGAAUUCCGAGUGUAGAGGUGAAAUUCGUAGAUAUUCGGAGGAACACCAAUGGCGAAGGCAGGUCUCUGGGCCGUUACUGACGCUGAGGAGCGAAAGCGUGGGGAGCGAACA